rnacentral:rRNA from 1 species
UGGCCGUAAACGAUGUGGACUUGGUGUUGGAAUGGCUCCGAGCUGCUCCAGUGCCGAAGGGAAGCUGUUAAGUCCACCGCCUGGGAAGUACGGUCGCAAGACUGAAACUUAAAGGAUUGGCGGGGAGCACCACAACGCGUGGAGCCUGCGGUUUAAUUGGAUUCAACGCCGGACAUCUCACCAGGGGCGGACAGCAGAAUGAUGGCCAGGUUGAUGACCUUGCUUGACAAGCUGAGAGGAGGUGCAUGGCGUGUGACUGU